UGUAGUGCACUACUUUAGACCAGAGCCCUAUGGAACCCUAUUCCCUAUAUAGUGCACUACUUUAGACCAGAGCCCUAUGGAACCCUCUUUCCUAUGGACCCUGGUCUAUAGUAGUGCCCUCUAUAGGGUACUAUUUUAGGUUGCACACUUUGACCCAUCUCCUGGUUAGUGGACAUACAGAUCUGUUAUGUUUUAAUCUGUCUUGGGUUAGAUUCUUUAUGUAUUAAUCUGUCUUGGGUUAGAGGUUAUUUAUGUAUUAAUCUGUCUUGGUUAGAGAUCCUUUAUGUAUUAUUCUAUGUAUUAAUCUGUCUUGGGUUAGAGAUUCUUUAUGUAUUAAUCUGUCUUGGGUUAGAGAUUCUUUAUGUAUUAAAAUGUCUUGGGGUAGAGAUUCUUUAUGUAUUAAUCUGUCUUGGGUUAGAGAUUCUUUAUGUAUUAAUCUGUCUUGGUUAGAGAUUCUUUAUGUAUUAAUCUGUCUUGGUUAGAGAUUCUUUAUGUAUUAAUCUGUUUUGGGUUAGAGAUUAUGUAUUAAUCUGUCUUGGGUUAGAGAUUCUUUAUGUAUUAAUCUGUUUUGGGUUAGAGAUUCUUUAUGUAUUAAUCUGUCUUGGGUUAGAGAUUCUUUAUGUAUUAAUCUGUCUUGGGUUAGAGAUUCUUUAUGUAUUAAUCUGUUUUGGGUUAGAGAUUCUUUAUGUAUUAAUCUGUCUUGGGUUAGAGAUUCUUUAUGUAUUAAUCUGUCUUGGGUUAGAGAUUCUUUAUGUAUUAAUCUGUCUUGGGUUAGAGAUUAUGUAUUAAUCUGUCUUGGGUUAGAGAUUAUGUAUUAAUCUGUUUUGGGUUAGAGAUUAUGUAUUAAUCUGUCUUGGGUUUGUACAGGUAUAUUGCUGAAUGGUGAUCUUAAUAACUUUUCCCUCCUAACACUUUGUUCUCUGUGUUUGGAGCUGAAUGGUGAUCUUAAUAACUUUUCCCUCCUAACACUUUGUUCUCUGUGUUUGGAGCUCCUGGUCAUGAAUAUGUAUGGCUUGAUUUAUUGACAGUGGGUAGCCUCCCAAAUCACACCCUAUGCCCUUUACAGUGAACUGCGUUUAACCAGACUAGUGCACUAUAUAGGGAAUAGGGUGCCGUUUUAGCGACGCAGGCGGUGUGAUUUUAAAGGAUGUUUUUUGACUUGGCUGUGUUGUACACUGUUUUGAUUGGAGCGGUUUAAAGGUUUAAGUCAAUUCCUUCCUAGUCAUUUCUAGAAACCUGUUUGCGUUCCAGGCCGACUACGUUACAGAUGCAUUGCAUCCACCCAUUGUUCUGCACCACGUCAUUGAGUGGCACAAUCGGGCAUCAGAUUGCUAUAUAAUAGGAUGUGGUUAGGUGUUUAACAUAACAGCUAUCUAGGCAGGCAUCUGCAGUGUAGUCAUCCUGGAACGUGUCCGUUGUGUUACUUCCUAUUACUAGUGAGUGUUAUGUUGCAUGUUCUUUUCUGAACCGGUGUCUGGCUCCUAGGACUGUAGUUUUAACUGAACCGGUGUCUGGCUCCUAGGACUGUAGUUUUAACUGAACCGGUGUCUGUAGUUGUAGUUUAGUGAUUCUCUGCAUGCUGUUUUAUUAAUCGUCUAAAAUCAGAGCAGCAACGUGCUAAGGGAACCCUAUCUCCUACAUAGUGCACCACUUUAGACCAGAGCCCUCUGGGCUUCCUCACCUGGGCUUCCCCACCUGGGCUUCCCACCUAGGCUUCCUCACCUGGGCUUCCUCACCUGGGCUUCCCCACCUGGGCUUCCCCACCUGGGCUUCCCCACCUGGGCUUCCUCACCUGGGCUUCCCCACCUGGGCUUCAGCACCUGGGCUUCCCACCUCGGCUUCCUCACCUGGGCUUCCCCACCUGGGCUUCCCCACCUGGGCUUCCUCACCUGGGCUUCCUCACCUGGGCUUCCUCACCUGGGCUUCCUCACCUGGGCUUCCCACCUCGGCUUCCUCACCUGGGCUUCUCCACCUGGGCUUCCCAAUAUUCCCUGGUCUAAAGUAGUGCACUAUGAAGGGAAUAGGGUGCGUUUGUGAUGUUAACUGUUGUGUUUUUCUACUGGCUGUACAAUUUUAUAUUCUUUCCCAUUCUGGGUCGUCAACAACACACAGGUCUGGACCUAUUUUAAUGAAGAGGUCUCUAUCCCCUAUGCCAUCCUAUUGCCUAUAUGGUACACUACUUUUGGCCCGGUCAGGCUAGGGACAAUAAUCCAACUCAAAUGUGACACUAAACAGUGGUUUGUAAUGACAUUGGGGAGUUGAGUGAGAGCUGGAGAUCAGCCACAUGUCUGUCACUCUGGCGUGUGUCUAGUGUGACACCGGAUGUGCCUGUAAAUACAUUGUGAAGAGAUUUGUUUUUAUGGGGAAUAAUAAAGUUUUAAUUGUAA